AGGGGUUCAGGUGGGUAGGAUGGAGGGGGCAGAAGAUAGGCAGGUGAGGGCAGCUGCAGUGUCUCUGCCAUUGGUUGUGAAGGUGAGAGGAUUGCAAAGCAUCUAAAUUUUAUUCACAUGACUGCAGGUGCUCUUUAGUGACUAUCACUUUGGGUCCACAUUUUCAACAUUUACUGAAUAAAUGAUGAUAAGUUGAAGACUACCUGUAGUUGGAUGUCACUAGCAGUCAAGUUUGAACUGAAGCAAUCGUCACCAAUUAGGGAGUUUACCCCAACCUUUGUAAGCCGCCUAGAGUCGCCUUGAAGUGAGAUAGGCAGCCAACAAAUCUAAUAAAUAAAAUAAAAAUAAACCUGAUGACUGCUCCAUACAAUCUAGCAGUGACACCCCCUGCAUUUGUGCAGCACUACAAUCCUGUCCUUUCAAAAUCCAGAGAAGGAACCAGAUCCAUUAAACCCAUAAAGUGCAGGGGGCUAAAUAUUUACCAUUAUGGGAGCUCCAUCUUGAGACAAAGUGAGCCAGCCAAACAAACAGUGUGGAAAAAAGAUCUUUAUCACUAAUAACAAACUCACCUGUCAAAGUCUUUGUUGCAUAAUAUUCAGGGUAAAGUGCUCCUGAAAUAAAGAUAUAAUACUGUACAUAUGAAGCUGUCAACUGUCAAUUCAGGAAAGUUGCUGUGCCUUGAAAAGUGGCUCAAGAAAUACAGAAGUAGGAUGAUAGUAGUUGCAGGAAGAAGUUGCAAGAUGGAGAAAUACUGUCAAACUGCUGAGAGAAUGUAUGAGUCUGGCACACAUCAAGAACUACACCCAGCAUGUGGAAUGACCUCUGGCAGACCCAUGUAAAGUGUGCUGCAGUAAUCUGAGUACUGAAGAGGGAGGUCAAGCUAUUCUCCAAAGCACUUGAAGGAAGAACAAGAAGCAAAGGAUGGAAACUAAUCAAGGAGAGAAGCAACCUACCACUAAGGAGAAAUUUUCUGAC